GCUUGCCCACUGCUCACCUCCUGCUGUGUGGCCCAGUUUCUAAUAGGCCACAGACUGGUACCAGUCCAUGGCCCUAGGGUUGGGGAACCCCGUCCUAACAGGAUAUGUAACAAUGUAUGUGUAAUUAAGUUGUAAUAUACAUGUAAUUAAGAGUAGAAAACAUAUGUGGAAUUAAAGAGUAACAACAUAUGUGUUAAUAAGAGUACUUAGAAGGAGAGAAGAGAAAAGGGCAGACAAAAAUAUUUGAGUAGAUUAUUAACCUGAAGCAGAUUGUUUUCACUUAAGUUGCUUAUUGUAACCUCCAGAUUACACUUUCAAAAUAGGGGACCCUUCCCCCCCUUCCCAGCGCCGCUGGGCCUGCAGGUCUCUGUUGAGCCGCGGACGUGGGUCUCAGUUCCACAGGAUGGGGUUUGUUAAAGUUGUUAAGAAUAAGGCCUACUUUAAGAGAUACCAAGUGAAAUUUAGAAGACGACGAGAGGGUAAAACUGAUUACUGUGCUCACAAAUGCUUGGUGAUACAGGAUAAAAAUAAAUACAACACACCCAAAUACAGGAUGAUAGUUCGUGUAACAAACAGAGAUAUCAUUUGUCAGAUUGCUUAUGCCUGUAUAGAGGGGGAUAUAAUAGUCUGCGCAGCAUAUGCCCACGAACUGCCAAAAUAUGGUGGGAAGGUUGGCCUGACAAAUUAUGCUGCAGCAUAUCGUACUAGCCUGCUGCUGGCCCGCAGGCUUCUCAAUAGGUUUGGCAUGGACAAGAUCUAUGAAGGCCAAGUGGAGGUGACUGGCGAUGAAUACAACGUGGAAAGCAUUGAUGGUCAGCCAGGUGCCUUCACCUGCUAUUUGGAUGCAGGCCUUGCCACAACUACCACUGGCAAUAAAGUUUUCGGCGCCCUGAAGGGAGCUGUGGAUGGAGGCUUGUCUAUCCCUCAUGGUACCAAACGAUUUCCUGGUUAUGAUUCUGAAAGCAAGGAAUUUAAUGCGGAAGUACACCGGAAGCACAUCAUGGGCCAGAAUGCUGCAGAUUGCAUGCACUACUUAAUGAAAGAAGAUGAAGAUGCUUACAAGAAACAGUUCUCUCAAUACAUAAAGAACAGCAUAACUCCAGACAUGAUGGAGGAGAUGUAUAAGAAAGCUCAUGCUGCAAUAUGAGAGAAUCCAGUCUAUGAAAAGAAGCCCAAGAAAGAAGUUUAAAAGAAGAGGUGGAACCGUCCCAAAAUGUCCCUUGCUCGGAAGAAGGAUCCAGUAGCUCAAAAGAAGGCAAGCUUCCUCAGAGCUCAGGAGCGGGCUGCUGAGAGCUAAACCAAACAAUUUUCUAUGAUGAUUUUUCAGAUACAGGCAAUAAACUUAUGGACAG